AAAGAGAGAACUGGGCACAGUGCACCUAUAGUCUUAGCUACUCUGGAGUCUGAGGCAGGAGAAUUACUGGAACCCAGGAGUUCGAGUACAGCUUGGGCAACAUAGCAAGAUCCUAUAUCUUAAAAAAAGCAAGCAAGCAAGCAAGAGAAGCAGCGGGGAUUUUAGGAGGUGGUUCUGCAGAAGCCAGUCCUUUACACCAUCUUCAACAAUCCCGGCUGUUGCUGAAGUAGACUAGGGGAGUCCCUGAGGGGCAGCCCUACCUCAUGCUGAGACCGCUGCAAGCCUUGGUGGUGGAAAUAUUUGAUGAGACUCCCAGGGGCCCUUGGGACCUUGGGCUUUGAGGACCAGACAGAUCAGAGGACUGUGCCCCUUUCUCCCCUCUAUAGAUUGAAGUAAAGCUCUCGAUCAAGUUCAACAGCAGGGAGUUCAGCUUGAAGAGGAUGCCGUCCCGAAAACAGACAGGGGUCUUCGGAGUCAAGAUUGCUGUGGUCACCAAGAGAGAGAGGUCCAAGGUGCCCUACAUCGUACGCCAGUGCGUGGAGGAGAUCGAGCGCCGAGGCAUGGAGGAGGUGGGCAUCUACCGCGUGUCCGGAGUGGCCACGGACAUCCAGGCACUGAAAGCAGCCUUCGACGUCAAUAACAAGGACGUGUCGGUGAUGAUGAGCGAGAUGGACGUGAACGCCAUCGCAGGCACGCUGAAGCUGUACUUCCGUGAGCUGCCCGAGCCCCUCUUCACCGACGAGUUCUACCCCAACUUCGCCGAAGGCAUCGCUCUUUCAGACCCGGUUGCAAAGGAGAGCUGCAUGCUCAACCUGCUGCUGUCCCUGCCGGAGGCCAACCUGCUCACCUUCCUUUUCCUUCUGGACCACCUGAAAAGGGUGGCAGAGAAGGAGGCAGUCAAUAAGAUGUCCCUGCACAACCUCGCCACAGUCUUUGGCCCCACAUUGCUCCGGCCCUCCGAGAAGGAGAGCAAGCUCCCUGCCAACCCCAGCCAGCCCAUCACCAUGACCGACAGCUGGUCCUUGGAGGUCAUGUCCCAGGUAUGGGAAGAACAGGUUCCUGCCCAUGCCACCCCAGCCUGACAGAGGUGGCCUCUGCCUGUCCCACCCCCCAGGCCUGCCCAUCUUCCUACUUGCAUUGUAUGUGGUGUGGCCAAGAUUGAGAGAGAGGGACUUGCCUAGGUCUGCAUGGAUGGGAGUGAUGGUGGGGGGCCCAGGCCACCUCCUGGUCCUGCUGGUGCACCUUGCUGGGGGGCUUAAAACCACCUCAAGUGUUCGGGUGUGGUGGCUCAUGCCUGUAAUCCCAGCACUUUGGGAGCCUGAGGCAGGAUAACUGAUCCCAAGUGUUUGAGAACAGUCUGGGCAAUAUAGCAAUCCCCAUCUCUAGAAAAAAUACAAAGAAAAAUUAGCCAGGCAUUGUGGCACACACCUGUA